UACAGAGGGUGCGAGCGUUGUCCGGAAUCACUGGGCGUAAAGGGCGCGUAGGUGGCCCGACAAGUCUGUGGUGAAAGCUCGACGCUCAACGUCGAGUCGGCCAUAGAUACUGUUGGGCUGGAGCACUGUAGAGGCUCAUGGAAUUCCGGGUGUAGCGGUGGAAUGCGUAGAGAUCCGGAAGAACACCGGUGGUGAAGGCGGUGAGCUGGGCAGUAGCUGACACUGAGGCGCGACAGCGUGGGGAGCAAACAGG
rnacentral:rRNA from 1 species